CAGUGGCGAAGGCGGCCCCCCCUGGACAAUAGACUGACCGCUCAGGUGCGAAAGCGUGGGGAGCAAACAGGAUUUAGAUAACCCUGCUAGUCCACGCCGUAAACGAUGUCGACUUUGGAGGUUGUGCCCCUUGAGGGCGUGGCUUUCCGGAGCUAACGCAUUAAGUCGACCGCCUGGGGAGUACGGCCGCAAGGUUAAAACUCAAAUGAAUUGACGGGGGCCCGCACAAGCGGUGGAGCAUGUGGUUUAAUUCGAUGCAACGCGAAGAACCUUCCCUACUCUUGACAUGCACAGAACUUUCCAGAGAUGGAUUGGUGCCUUCGGGAACUGUGAGACAGGUGCUGCAUGGCUGUCGUCAGCUCGUGUUGUGAAAUGUUGGGUUAAGUCCCGCAACGAGCGCAACCCUUAUCCUUUGUUGCCAGCACGUCAUGGUGGGAACUCAAAGGAGACUGCCGGUGAUAAACCGGAGGAAGGUGGGGAUGACGUCAAGUCAUCAUGGCCCUUACGAGUAGGGCUACACACGUGCUACAAUGGCAUAUACAAAGAGAAGCCAACUCGCGAGAGCAACCGCCCCUCAUAAAGUAUGUCGUAGUCCGGAUCGGAGUCUGCAACUCGACUCCGUGAAGUCGGAAUCGCUAGUAAUAGUAGAUCAGAAUGUUCCGGUGAAUACGUUCCCGGGCCUUGUUCGCGCCCCCGUCACACCAUGGAAUGGGUCCCCACCUUCCCGUUCUUUUUAACCUUCGGGAGGGCGCUUACCCUUUGUGAUUCAGACUGGGGGGAAGUUGGUACCCAAGGUACCCCCA
rnacentral:rRNA from 1 species